rnacentral:rRNA from 1 species
GACAGAGGGGGCAAGCGUUGCUCGGAAUUACUGGGCGUAAAGGGCGCGUAGGCGGGAUGGCAAGUCGGUCGUGAAAUCCUUCGGCUCAACCGAAGAACGUCGAUCGAUACUGCUGUUCUUGAGGGUUGCAGAGGAGACUGGAAUUCCCGGUGUAGCGGUGAAAUGUGUAGAGAUCGGGAGGAACACCGCUGGCGAAGGCGGGUCUCUGGGCAAUUCCUGACGCUGGGGCGCGAAAGCGUGGGGAGCAAACGGG